ACCUGUGAUGACAUAUCCACGACUUGGAGGUGUAGAUAGGUCCAGGUCCCUGUUUUGCAGGGAGAACCUACUUGGAGCUGCUGCAUUCAGUUGACAUUUCUGGAUUUGUCUGAGGC
rfam:Musa acuminata subsp. malaccensis Doubled-haploid Pahang (DH-Pahang) genomic chromosome, chr3